UUGCGACAUUGCACUCCAGCCAAGAGCGAAACUCCGUCUCAAAAAAAAAAAAGAAAAGAUUAAUAAUGCAUUUAACCCAAUAUAUUAAAUAUAUUAUUUCAAUUUACAAACAAUAUUUAAAAAUUAUUAAUGGGAAAUUUUAGAUUCUUGGACUGGGCACAGUGGCUCAUGCCUGUAAUCCCAGCACUUUGAGAGGCCAAGGUGAGUGGAUCACUUGAGGUAAGGAGUUCGAGAGCAGCCUGACCAACAUGGAGAAACCCCAUUUCUACUAAAAAUACAAAAAUUAGCCAGGUGUGGUGGCACAUGCCUAUAAUCCCAGUUACUCAGGAGGCUGAGGCAUAAGAAUCACUUGAACCUAGGAGGCGGAGGUUGCAGUGAGCCAAGAUCGUGCCACUGCAAUCCAGCCUGGGCAACAGAGGAAGAUUGUCUCAAAAAAACAGAAAAGAAAUUUUACAUUCUCUUUUCUGAACUAAGUCUGAAACAAUGUAUUUGAUACAGGCAGCAUCUCAAUUUGGACUAGCCACAGGUUUCACCUGCUCAGUAGCCAUAUGAGACUGGUGGCUCCUGUAUUGGGCAGCUCUGGUUUAGAGAGUGAUGAGGGAGUAGGAUGUCAUGUGGGGAAGAGCAAUAGUUGAUCAUGUUGAGGAGAGGGACAGAAUGAUGCAGGGCUGAUAGGCCACAGUAAGGAAUCUGGGUUUAAUUCUGAGUAUGAAUGGGAGCCACCAAAUGGCUUUGAGCAGACAUAUGAGGCGAUCUGAUUGUAUAUAAAUGAAAAUAUUUUUUAAACUUAUAUGUAUCUUUUAAACAGAGACACAGCAUCUCAUUAUGUUGCCCAGACUGGUCUCAAAUUCCUGGCCUCAAGUGAUCCUACUGCCUUGGCCUCCCAAAGUGCUGGGACUACAGGUGUGAGCCACUGCACCUGGCCCUUUUUUAUUUUUUAAAAAUAUAAUCAGGCCCAACAUAGCAACACCCUGUCUCUAUUUAAUAAAAUAAAAUAAAAAAUAUUUCACGCCAAUGCAUGUGCAGAAAAUAGAGCAAGAAAAGUGGGCAGGGGUAACGCUUAGGUAGGAAGCUAUGGAGCUACUGCGAUUAUCCGUGGGGUUGGUGCUGGGGUGUGGCUGAGUAUGGGUCGAACCAUGGAGGAGAUGAGAAGUGGUUGGGUUCUGGACGUAUUCUGAAGGGAGCGAUGGAAGGAUAUGUGUAGAUAGAUUGACCAAGGGGCAUUUGUGGAAGAGAGGCUGGGACUUUGGUUUUGGCCUGAGCAAAGUGGUAAGAGAAGAAAGAGUGGGAAGGGGACACUGGGGAGCCAGGUAAAAUCAAGGGUUUGGUUAUGGACUUGUUGAAUUUGAAAUGGCUGGGAGAUAAUCUAGCAAACUUGGAGACACCCCACCCAGAUCCCCUUCAAGGAGGGACUUGCUCAGCUGUGGGGAGUGAAGUUGGUAGAUGGCUUCCACCUGGCCACAACUGGCCUGCAGAAAGCCACUUUGUCUGAGGUCACACCCUUCUUAAGGCAGCUUGCAUCCAUGACUGAGCAAGUCGGGGCACAAAGGCUGGGCCACUUUGGCCUGAUGCGGGGCACCUCUGAUGAAAUACUUAACAUUGUGUUACAAGUGCCUGCAUAUUCAGUACAGUAACAUGCUAUACAGGUUUGUAGCCUAGGAGCAAUAGGCUAGGCCAUAUAGCCCAGGAACUAUGUCCUGGGCAGUAUUCGCUGCAGAGCUCCCUGCUCCCUUCCCCCUGCUCCCUGCUGGAUUGUCUAAGGUUCCCACAGGUGUUAAUCCCUAAUAGAUUAUCUUGUGCCCCAAACUCUGUCUUGGUGU
rnacentral:lncRNA from 1 species